rnacentral:rRNA from 1 species
CGCCUAAUACAUGCAAGUCGAGCGAGAAGGUGUAGCAAUACACUUGUAAAGCGGCGAACGGGUGAGGAAUACAUGGGUAACCUACCCUCGAGUGGGGAAUAACUAGCCGAAAGGUUAGCUAAUACCGCGUACGCUUCCGGGACUGCGGUUCCGGAAGGAAAGCGAGGCCGUGGGUCUCGCGCUCUUGGAUGGGCUCAUGUCCUAUCAGCUUGUUGGUGAGGUAACGGCUCACCAAGGCUUCGACGGGUAGCUGGUCUGAGAGGACGAUCAGCCACACUGGCACUGCGACACGGGCCAGACUCCUACGGGAGGCAGCAGUAAGGAAUAUUGCGCAAUGGACGACAGUCUGACGCAGCGACGCCGCGUGGGGGACGAAGGUCUUCGGGUUGUAAACCCC